UGGCUUAAUUGGUAAAGUGCUUGCCUGGCAUGCAUGAGGCCCUGGGUGUGAUCCCCAG
rnacentral:tRNA from 1 species